rnacentral:rRNA from 1 species
UUUGAAGGGCCGCAGUAUAUUGACUGUGCAAAGGUAGCAUAAUCAUUAGUCUUUUAAUUGAAGGCUGGUAUGAAUGGUUGGAUGAGGUAAAUUCUGUUUUAUGUUAAUUUGUGUUGAAUUUAGAUUUUAAGUAAAAAGACUUAGAUGAUAUUAAGGGACGAGAAGACCCUAUAGAGUUUAAUAAAUGUAUUAAUUAGUUGAGUUAUGAAUGUAAUUUUUUAUUAUUAUAAAAUUUAUUUAAUUGGGGUGAUUGAAAGAUAAAUGUAACUCUUUUUUAUAUUUAAUAUUUUGAUUAGUUAUUUGAUCCAUAUUUAAUGAUUAAAAGAUUAAAUUACCUUAGGGAUAACAGCAUAAUUCUUUUUGAGAGUUCUUAUCGAGAAGGGAGAUUGUGACCUCGAUGUUGGAUUAAGAUUAGUUUUGGGUGUAGAUGUUCAAGAACUAGGUCUGUUCGACCUUAGAAAUCUUACAUG